UAUAAAAUUUUUCCUGCAAAUGGAAUUGACUGCUGAAGUGGCUGUUACUGCUGACACUAAUGUUCAGGUUUUAAAUAGGAAACUGGAGCUAGAUCGAGUUUAUUCUAAAUUAGGUGAAAAGAUUACCAGAAUCUUUAGAGACUACAUGACAAAGGUUACCGAGUUUGAGGAGCUAGCUGAUGUGGGGAAGAGGUUUCUUACUGGAUUUAAUAGGGU